CACAUACAGAUUGAGAAGCUUCUGGAGGGUCAGAAGCGCUCGAACUGCCAAAGAUUUACCUAAUCCUCGGAUGUUCCAUCCAUAUAUUUUCAUUUUGUACGGCGGUCAUCCUAUAAAAUUCAGGUCAUUUGUCUCGGUUUGCCUGAACAGUCCAGUGCCGUGAAGAAUGGGCUUUCAUCCCGUGGGCCCCAAAAAGCCCAACCAACGUGGUAAAGUUUACCCCAUCGCUACAGCGAGCCGCCGCCGCCGCCUCUCCCAUCUCGUCCCCCCGCCACUGCUACCUCCCGGCGGCGCCACCUGCGAUCCAGCGGACUCCCCUGCACAGAGCUCUCCCGCCGCCUGCAAGCUCGCUCUCUGCUGCCGCCUCCAGACCGGAAUCGUCUGCACCCAGGUCGCCGCCGGCGCUUCCAGCCCAAGCACCUCCUCCCGCCGGAUGAGCUUCUCUGCCCCCAAAGGCUCCUGCAGCCCGAGCUCGCCAUCCAGCCACCGACUCUCUCUCCUCCGACACCGGUACCGAGGAGUACGAGCAGGAGUACGACUACUACCCCGAUGAGGACCGUGCCGGUUUCUCUUCUUCUGAUCUCACAGGCGAGCAUUUCUCCCCCUUCACCUAUUUUGGUUUGCCUCUCUCUAUUGCUAUCUUGAGUUGCGUUCUUGUCACGUGUCAUAUUCGCAUGUUACCUGUUGCAAGCCAUACACCUUCCAACUACCCACAGUUGUUGUUUGGUUUAUCGGAUUAGCCUUGCGUGUCGUAGGCUUGCUUAGUACCGUUGUUAUAUUCUUGUUGUGAAAUCGUUAUUGUUCGGGGUUAUAUCUGUUGGGUUGUUCCGAGGUACUUGGUUCUUGGUUAUCUGUUGCAGCAGUUUGGUUAUCUGUUGGAGCAGUUUUGGUUCACCUUAAUUCUUGAUAAUAAUUAAAACUGUUAAGCAGAGGCAUCGGUGGGUCAGCUGUAUGUUGGUUUUAAACAUGGCUCACUUGUUUCCACUAAUUAUCUUAGGAUCUCGAGUUCUUGUUAUCUGAUCCAAGACUGAGCGCACUAACCAUACGUGGGGAAAGUGGGACCCCCUCGACCUAUUACCUGAUCUGCUUUGUCCAUAUGCCACAAUUAGUUUGGGUGUGUUUACUUUUGGUUCUUGCGUGCAUGCCAGCUUGUUACUUCUUUAUUUUUUGGGAAGCCUCGGUGUGCCUCGUAACCCCUUGUUUCUGGUAUGCACGUAUAGGUUUGCGGCCUGCGCGUUUACCGCAUGCUGAAGCGGGUCAUUCGCCCCUGUGUGUGUUUUGACCCUCGGAAGCCGUUCUCGCAAACAGCUAGGUCCGUAUCGGAGAUUCGGCCGGACUUCGUCUCAGGUUAGCUUAGCCAGGUGGCAUUUUGGACUUGGUCUGUGGUGAUGGGAGAGGUAGUGUCGUUUUGCUCCGCCCGGUACAGGUUGAGUUGAACGUGCGUAUGAGACCAGUAGUGCACCCCUGCAGGGUUAUCAUCUUAUCGAUAAGCCGUGUCCGCGGUUAUGGACGACUUGGAGAAGUGUUACUUGGUCAUAGACAACUUACACCUUUAUCUGCUAAUAAUUAAAUUGCGUAGUAAUUAGCAUUACUAAAAUAAUAACCUGUUAAAACUGCCAACUGGGUGUGUGCCUUUGCUGUGUUCUUCCUUGGGUAUAAAAGGGGGUAAGCAUCGGCUGGGUUAUGUUUGCAGAGUAUUAGAAUUGUUAGCUGAACGCUCUCUUAUCUAUCUGAUACCGGAAAGUCGAGAGUUGUCUCUAUAGGUUGUUACUGCUAGUUUGCUGCCGCUAAACUCCACCAUAUAGCCCGGCGAGCACAACCUAGCUCUAGUCUCGCUGAGUACGUGUCUUGGUACUCACGCUCUGCUUUCUCUCUCUUUUUCCGGCAACCGUUGGCCCGAUGUUGUAGGUAUGACAGGUUCUGAGUUUGGUGGUUACUUUGUUGAUCACGCUGAUGAUGACUACAUUGAGUAGUGGGGACGCUCCUAAGGCAGCAGUCUGAGGCUUGUUGGUUAUGGAACCGACUGCUUUAUUUAUGGACUAUUAGUCCUAUUUGCAUCUUGUCUAUACUCGGACCUUUCUUUUAUUCGCUUCCGCUUGAUGUAAUGAUGUAAUGUUGGGACAUGUGUCCUCUGAGUGUCAUUUGGAUCUUGCUCCUUGCUGAGCGUUACUAUAUUAUUUCCUUUCUUA